CGCCUAUGCGGUGGAGGCUCCGGGCUUCAGCUAGGGCGGGCGAGCCCAGCAGAAGGACCGGGCAGCCUGGCACCCCACUUUGCCAUCCUGUCCCUGGAAACCUCGGGGUCGGCGGGCCGGCCGCUUCGCUUGGGCGAAAUCAGAGACACGUGGUUUCCAAGGCCCCUUCGGCUCUCCCUGUCCAGCCGCCUGCAGCUGACCCUGUACCAGUACAAGACUUGUCCCUUCUGCAGCAAGGUCCGAGCCUUCCUCGACUUCCACGCCCUGCCCUACCAGGUGGUGGAGGUGAACCCUGUGCGCAGGGCUGAGAUCAAGUUCUCCUCCUACAGAAAGGUGCCCAUCCUGGUGGCCCAGGAAGGAGAAAGCUUGGGACAGCAGAUAUGAAAUGCCUGGCACAGUGCUUGGGGUCUAGUAUGUAGCUUCCAGAACCCACCCUGCCCCUCUACCUGGGAGGCCAAAUGGCAACAACUGAACGACUCCUCUGUCAUCAUCAGUGCCCUCAAGACCUACCUGGUGUCGGGGCAGCCCCUGGAAGAGAUCAUCACCUACUACCCAGCCAUGAAGGCUGUGAACGACCAGGGCAGGGAGGUGACCGAGUUCGGCAAUAAGUACUGGCUCAUGCUCAACGAGAAGGAGGCCCAGCAAGUGUAUGGCGGGAAGGAGGCCAGGACGGAGGAGAUGAAG
rnacentral:sRNA from 1 species